CGGAGGAUCCAAGCGUUUAUCCGGAAUCAUUGGGUUUAAAGGGUCCGUAGGCGGUUUUAUAAGUCAGUGGUGAAAUCUGGUCGCUCAACGAUCAAACGGCCAUUGAUACUGUAGAACUUGAAUUACUUGGAAGUAACUAGAAUAUGUAGUGUAGCGGUGAAAUGCUUAGAGAUUACAUGGAAUACCAAUUGCGAAGGCAGGUUACUACAAGUGGAUUGACGCUGAUGGACGAAAGCGUGGGGAGCGAACAGGAUUAGAUACCCUGGUAGUCCACGCCGUAAACGAUGGAUACUAGCUGUUCGGAGCAAUCUGAGUGGCUAAGCGAAAGUGAUAAGUAUCCCACCUGGGGAGUACGAACGCAAGUUUG
rnacentral:rRNA from 1 species